GCAAAGAUGCAAGUAAAAGUCAGAAGUGUUUAGCUGAGAGGUGGAACAUCAAUUGAAUGGGACUGUGGAUGGGCUGUUAGGGGACUGCACAGUCUGUGCCUGUUUUAAACAUGCCAUUUAUCAAUGAGAGAGCCCUAGCCAGCAAGAGAUUUGGACAAAGGAAAAAACAUGACUGAGGAACUUCAGGGGAUGCCUUGAGACACUACCAAUAGAAAACAGAGCUGAUUCCUUUGUCUGUCCUCUUUUCAUGUUCUUGCACUGAUGCUGCCUCCAAUUCAGGGGUUCCUGCAAUCUUCCAUCACAGAAAAAUACAAUUUUGUGUCUGAGCACCUCAUUCACAAAAG